UCCAGACUCCUACGGGAGGCAGCAGUGGGGAAUAUUGGGCAGUGGGCGCAAGCCUGACCCAGCAAUGCCGCGUGAAGGAAGAAGGCUUUCGGGUUGUAAACUUCUUUGACAGGGGAAGAGCAGAAGACGGUACCCUGAAAACAAGCCACGGCUAACUACGUGCCAGCAGCCGCGGUAAUACGUAGGUGGCAAGCGUUGUCCGGAUUUACUGGGUGUAAAGGGCGUGCAGCCGGGCUGACAAGUCAGAUGUGAAAUCCCGCGGCUCAACCGCGGAACUGCAUUUGAAACUGUCAGUCUUGAGUACCGGAGAGGUCAUCGGAAUUCCUUGUGUAGCGGUGAAAUGCGUAGAUAUAAGGAAGAACACCAGUGGCGAAGGCGGAUGACUGGACGGCAACUGACGGUGAGGCGCGAAAGCGUGGGGAGCAAACAGGAUUAGAUACCCUCGUAC
rnacentral:rRNA from 1 species